GACAUUCAGCUGGAAAAGCUCUGAUUCACAUGCAAAUAAAAAUCUCCCUGAAUUCGCUGUUACAUGACGCAAGCUCCUGGCAUUGACAUAAAAGGGCAGAAUGAAAUCACCCACAAUUAAACUCACUUUGGAAUACUGGAAUUUGCUGGCUAGGCCUCCCCACAAAUGAUAAGAAAAGCCCCAACUGUAACAGAAUGAAGCUGAUUGUGUUGGAUCCCAGGGCAUUCCCGCUUGGACUGAGCCACGCCUGAGCACCCCAGUCUGGGGCUGUCUGCCAUUCUUGCUCCCUGACCUGUGUUCAGCAUCAUCUAUCUGGAAGUGGGGUUCAGAGGUCUUCCUCAGGGAGAUCUUCCCUUCUGGGUUGAGACCCUACUUUCACCCCGAACCCUUGCCCUAGUGUAAGCUGGGGACAUCUCCCAAGACUAGACAGAGCCUUCACCUGAGCUUCACAGCAUUAUCACACUCUGAUCUGAAGCCCAGGCCAGAGGCCUUCAAUGGUUCCUUAGAAUGCAUGCUCCAUCUGCCUGAGAACAAGAGAAUUCUGGAGACAGAACACUGAGAUUUUCUGGCCUUUCACUAGCUGGCCUUUCACUAGUCCCCACCCCAAGAUUCUCUGCUGAGGGCCAACCAGGGGAAUGUUCCAUGGACAGCACGUGUUCUGGAGGGGGUUUUUGAGGAGAAUGCAGCAAACUUCCCUUCUCUAAGAACACUUAAGUGUGUAAAACAGAAGUACAACUGGCACAUGGGUUUGGGAACAAACAACUCUCAACAGGCUUCCAACUGACCUGAUGGAAGGGGUGUGAGGACCCUAGAAAACAGCUGACUGGGCAGGAAACUCCAGACACGUGCUGCAUGUGCCAGCGGAGGGGGCACAGCUUGAGUGCCUCCCGCACCCCCCAAGCCCAGGGAUGACACCAGGCCACCUAAGUUCUGCCACAGUGUGUUGUUAUGCAGAGAAGUCCCAGGUCUGCUGAAGAGAAGAAGAAGUAAAGCAAGCAGAGCAGAUGAGAAAACAAACUAAGGCCCAGAGAGUUUGAUUCAUCAAUAAAUACAACUUGCUCUGAGGACUUACUUUUCUUUCCAAUAAGCGGUUGAAAGAGAAGAUAAAGGCAUCAGGAAAUAAGAGCCAAGGUUUUAUUCUGGAGGAUUGAAAGGGUGAAGCAAAGAGAGGUGAAGCUCAAGUGCAGGGGUGGAAUGAAGUAAUAGGCACCGAGAAGGAACCUGCAAGAAUCCUAAAGGGAAAGACCAAAAGAGAUUCUUUAUAACAGAAGAUAAAGCAGAAGCACAGGGGCAAGUUGGAAGCGUGGAGAAUGUAAUUGUUGGGAAAUCAAUGGAGAUCACGCUAUGGCUUUUCCCCCUAUAGUCUGCCCAAUGUGCCAAGCACACUAAUCAGCAAUGUUCUCUUUCCCUGAGGCCUGACCUGCUGCUGUGACAAUUGAGGGCCGGGGUGAGGGCACACCGAUGGAGCUGCUGCUGUCAUCCCCAGAGCCUCAUGCCACCUCCGAGUAUUCAGCACCAUCCCCGUAAGCAAUGACAGGAGGAAACUGCUAAACUAGUUGUCACCACCAGACUGCUAAUGAAAUCCAGAAAGUCUGCAAACAAAACUGCCAGCUUCCUUACAAUGAAAUGACCACCCAGGACAGUGCAAUUCAGAAGAGGAGCCCCUUCCACCGGCAACAGGUUUCUUCCAGGGUGACUUCCCCGACAGGUAUAGCUUAGAGACAAUUGGAACAAGACACUAUAAAUCCUGAUCAUG